rnacentral:lncRNA from 1 species
AAGUUAUAUUUGCUUUCACCUCUGCUUCUAUCUUAAAAGGCACUUAAAAUUCUCGUUUGAUAUCUGGAAAUGUCUUACCCGUAUUUCUUAUUUUGCAGAUCCAAUACUUUUUCAAAUAGGAAUAGGCGUUCUUCUUUGGUCCACAGUCUUGUAACAGUCGUCACGUUCACUCCACUAUUCGACACCAGCGUGGAAAUCGUCAUUUCGAUGCCUCGGCGGAUUUUUUUGGGAAUUUGUCGAGAUCGAUCGGACCAUUUUGUACAGAUAUUUCUAUUUCAAUCCCAAGACUGCUUCUUCCGACAAAAUGAAUAGCUUAUUAAUUUAUUAGAUAAUCAAGAAUGUCAUAGAAAAAUAUCCAUUUUUACAUUCGUCGGUUAAAUAUGAAUCAGACAGAGCGUUUUAGUGUUUUUGGCAAAAUUUACAUAGUUACAAAUACUGAAAGGAUGACAUAUCUAACAUGGGUAUAUA